CGGGGCAUAGCGUAAUGGUAGCGCACGUCCUUGGGGUGGAUGAGGAUGGGGUCCAAUUCCCCAUGCCCCGA
rnacentral:tRNA from 1 species